rnacentral:lncRNA from 1 species
GAAAUACUCAGUCAGAGCUUCGUGGUAGGGUGUGGUGACGUUGACAGGAGCACGUAAUGAAUGCAUUGCACAUUUUAAGAUGCUUGAUACAGAUCUUGCAGACUAAGAUGUUAUAUUUUCUGCCAGGAUAUCCAUUGGUUAAGAAUGCCUCCUUGAGAAUCUUAAGCUUAUUAUGUUCACUUCCUCCAUACAAAGUUUAUAAGCUCAUCAAAUAAAUGCGGAGUGUCCUUGUACAUAGCUAUGUCUUUGGAACACUGGCUGAGCCUGCUGCUGGAUUCUCUAAAGAUGGAAAAAGAGAAAAAAUUAAUUUUCUUUGAGAUAUACAUGUCCAGAAAAUGCACCUACUCCUCAUCUAAUUGCUUGAACUGUAUAGUUAGUCCCAUACAUGUUGAUACGGGUAGCAAAAUUGCUGGCAACUUCCUUAUUAUCAACAAUCAUAAAAAUGUC